ensembl:snRNA U1 U1 spliceosomal RNA
ACACUUUCCUGGCAGUGGAGAUACCGUGAUCAUGAAGAUGGUUUUCCUGGGUGAGGCUGAGCCACUACACUGCAGGUGUGCUGACCCCUGAGAUUUCCCCAAAUGCAGGAAAUACAACUGCAUAGUUCGUGGUAGAGGGGACUUCGUUCAUGCUUCCCCUGU